ACUGCAACAAAAACAUUAACCCGCUACAUUAGACCAUCCAUGACAUAUAUGUAUGUCAAUAGAUGGUUUAUCACUCUUCAUGUUAUUCCUUGAUGGAUAUGCACGAUAAUCUCCGUAUUGAAGGGUUAAGUAAAUCCCCCAAAUGUUCUAGCCAUGUAUACCAAAAUCCAAACAUUCCCUCUUAUUUAUUAUCUUGGGAGAACAUCUGCCUGCAAAUGUACUUCCUUUUCUCAUUAGGCUCUUCAUGCAGCUGGAAGCACGAUAUUAACAUUUUUACUACAUGUUUUGAGGUUUGAGAAACAGCUAAGGUAGAUUCAGG